GACGUAGGGGGCGAGCGUUGUCCGGAUUCAUUGGGCGUAAAGCGCGCGUAGGCGGCCCGGUAAGUCGGGUGUGAAAUCCUGGGGCUCAACCCCAGGACUGCACUCGAUACUGCCAGGCUAGAGGUAGGUAGGGGAGAUCGGAAUUCCCGGUGUAGCGGUGAAAUGCGCAGAUAUCAGGAGGAACACCGGUGGCGAAGGCGGAUCUCUGGGCCUUACCUGACGCUCAGGCGCGAAAGCUAGGGGAGCAAACAGG
rnacentral:rRNA from 1 species